rnacentral:rRNA from 1 species
GACGAACGCUGGCGGCGUGCCUAAUACAUGCAAGUAGAACGCUGAAGAGAGGAGCUUGCUCUUCUUGGAUGAGUUGCGAACGGGUGAGUAACGCGUAGGUAACCUGCCUUGUAGCGGGGGAUAACUAUUGGAAACGAUAGCUAAUACCGCAUAACAAUGGAUGACACAUGUCAUUUAUUUGAAAGGGGCAAUUGCUCCACUACAAGAUGGACCUGCGUUGUAUUAGCUAGUAGGUGAGGUAAUGGCUCACCUAGGCGACGAUACAUAGCCGACCUGAGAGGGUGAUCGGCCACACUGGGACUGAGACACGGCCCAGACUCCUACGGGAGGCAGCAGUAGGGAAUCUUCGGCAAUGGGGGCAACCCUGACCGAGCAACGCCGCGUGAGUGAAGAAGGUUUUCGGAUCGUAAAGCUCUGUUGUAAGUCAAGAACGGGUGUGAGAGUGGAAAGUUCACACUGUGACGGUAGCUUACCAGAAAGGGACGGCUAACUACGUGCCAGCAGCCGCGGUAAUACGUAGGUCCCGAGCGUUGUCCGGAUUUAUUGGGCGUAAAGCGAGCGCAGGCGGUUUGAUAAGUCUGAAGUUAAAGGCUGUGGCUCAACCAUAGUUCGCUUUGGAAACUGUCAAACUUGAGUGCAGAAGGGGAGAGUGGAAUUCCAUGUGUAGCGGUGAAAUGCGUAGAUAUAUGGAGGAACACCGGUGGCGAAAGCGGCUCUCUGGUCUGUAACUGACGCUGAGGCUCGAAAGCGUGGGGAGCGAACAGGAUUAGAUACCCUGGUAGUCCACGCCGUAAACGAUGAGUGCUAGGUGUUGGAUCCUUUCCGGGAUUCAGUGCCGCAGCUAACGCAUUAAGCACUCCGCCUGGGGAGUACGACCGCAAGGUUGAAACUCAAAGGAAUUGACGGGGGCCCGCACAAGCGGUGGAGCAUGUGGUUUAAUUCGAAGCAACGCGAAGAACCUUACCAGGUCUUGACAUCCCGAUGCUAUUUCUAGAGAUAGAAAGUUACUUCGGUACAUCGGUGACAGGUGGUGCAUGGUUGUCGUCAGCUCGUGUCGUGAGAUGUUGGGUUAAGUCCCGCAACGAGCGCAACCCCUAUUGUUAGUUGCCAUCAUUCAGUUGGGCACUCUAGCGAGACUGCCGGUAAUAAACCGGAGGAAGGUGGGGAUGACGUCAAACCAUCAUGCCCCUUAUGACCUGGGCUACACACGUGCUACAAUGGUUGGUACAACGAGUUGCGAGUCGGUGACGGCGAGCUAAUCUCUUAAAGCCAAUCUCAGUUCGGAUUGUAGGCUGCAACUCGCCUACAUGAAGUCGGAAUCGCUAGUAAUCGCGGAUCAGCACGCCGCGGUGAAUACGUUCCCGGGCCU